AUUGAACGCUGGCGGCGUGCCUAAUACAUGCAAGUCGAACGCAGUGGCGGACGGGUGAGUAACACGUGGGUAACCUACCCAUCAGAGGGGGAUAACACUUGGAAACAGGUGCUAAUACCGCAUAUUGAUGGAUGGGCCCGCGGCCUAUCAGCUUGUUGGUGGGGUAAUUGCCUACCAAGGCGGCGACGGGUAGGCGGCCGUGGAAGGGGGACGGCGACAUUGGGACUACGGCACGGCCCAGACUGCUACGGGAGGCAGUAGGGGGGAGUAUUGCACAACGGGGGGGAGCCUGAGGCAGCGACGCCGCGUGGGUAAUGACGUCCUUGGGGGUGGAAACGCCUUUCACCAUCGACGCGGUAGAUGGAGAAGAAGCACCGGCUAACUACGUGCCAGCAGCCGCGGUAAUUC
rnacentral:rRNA from 1 species